GACAGAGGGUGCAAACGUUGUUCGGAAUUACUGGGCGUAAAGCGAGUGUAGGCGGUUUGGUAAGUCGGAUGUGAAAGCCCCGGGCUCAACCCGGGAAGUGCACUCGAUACUACCAGGCUAGAGUAUCGGAGAGGUUGGUGGAAUUCUCGGUGUAGAGGUGAAAUUCGUAGAUAUCGAGAGGAACACCGGUGGCGAAGGCGGCGACCUGGACAAUGACUGACGCUGAGACGCGAAAGCGUGGGGAGCAAACAGG
rnacentral:rRNA from 1 species